AGUGAACGCUGGCGGUAGGCCUAACACAUGCAAGUCGAACGGCAGCACAGUAAGAGCUUGCUCUUACGGGUGGCGAGUGGCGGACGGGUGAGGAAUACAUCGGAAUCUACUUUUUCGUGGGGGAUAACGUAGGGAAACUUACGCUAAUACCGCAUACGACCUACGGGUGAAAGCAGGGGAUCUUCGGACCUUGCGCGAUUGAAUGGGCCGAUGUCGGAUUAGCUAGUUGGCGGGGUAAAGGCCCACCAAGGCGACGAUCCGUAGCUGGUCUGAGAGGAUGAACAGCCACACUGGAACUGAGACACGGUCCAGACUCCUACGGGAGGCAGCAGUGGGGAAUAUUGGACAAUGGGCGCAAGCCUGAUCCAGCCAUACCGCGUGGGUGAAGAAGGCCUUCGGGUUGUAAAGCCCUUUUGUUGGGAAAGAAAAGCAGCAGGUUAAUACCCCGCUGUUCUGACGGUACCCAAAGAAUAAGCACCGGCUAACUUCGUG
rnacentral:rRNA from 1 species